CUCAACCAUCCAUUCCAUUCUUUAAAACUCAACCCCACGUCUCAUCUUGAUUCAACGACUUAGAUUGAGUCUCGUACCACUUUCCUAUAUAAAUAUCCUAACAUCCUAACCCUAUUUUCAUUUUUACCCUCAUUCUCUUUGAAAAUGCCAGGCGCUUUUCCUCUAUCUCCUAACGUUGUCCAUCGCCGGCGAAACCACUAACAAAACCCCUACAACAUCCUCACUCACGGGGACAACCACCAAGCGAGACCCUCUCCUUCUCUCUCAUCACGACGCUUCUCCAAUCACAAGUGGAUAGCAUCCACUUCACCAUCCAAUCUAGUCUCCCCUCUCCUCCCCUUUCUCUUUCCCUUUGACUCUCUUCUCAUCCCCAUUUUCUUGUGAAGCUCCGCACUAUUAAACCUUUAUCUAUCUUUUGCUCUUCUUUUCGUUGGUUCUGACAAAACAUUCUUGCAAGAUAGCCACCACGAAGAGACAUUUGGUUUCUAUGAGUCAAGCCAACAAUCAUCCUUCCCCCAAUGAGAUCAACAACUAUGAUAACAAGAGCAUCGUUUCUCCGCCGCUCCUACCAGAGAGGACUUUCCGGAGUCUUAAGGUUUUUGGGGCUAAUGAAGUCGAAUCAUGACAGAUCCAUCCAGGAAUAGACAUACUCUCACCCCAUUGAAUAUUCUUUACACGUACACUAUACUGCAACGACAUUCCUUGAAAUUCAAUAAUGGCAAGUGGAGAAAUCAACGCGAGAAUCCAAGCUAAAGUGGAAUUGUCGUCACCCCAAAAGGGGUAUAGGUACAUUCAUGAAAUAAUGAAAAAACAGAUAAACUAUGGGUAACAUCUUUUAUGAAGCGCACAUAUAGCUCUACAAAAAUAAGGCAACUCGUUAUUUCCUCUCAUUAUAAUUUUAAAUCACCCAUUAGAAGUCUUAAAAACCUAAAAAAUUAUUAUUAACUUAUCAACAUACUUUCAUACAAUCUUAAUAUAAAUAGAAUAUACUUACAUUUUAGCUUCACGUGAUUUUUAACUAUCAAAAUAUUUUAUUUAGUGCUCUUGAAUAAUUUUUGUUGAAAGUAUUUUUCUCUUUGCUUAAGUAAUUUAAGAGAGUCAAUGAUUAAAAAGGGAAUAGAAGGUGUAACAUCGUAUUGGGCCCAUUUUAGCCUUGUCAUAUAUCUCUCUCUCUCUAGAAACUCUAACUUUAUAUGUUGUUGAUUUAUUUAAAUUUCAAUUUGCAUGAUAUAUUUUUAUUCUUUUGGUUUGGUAUCAAUCAAGUAAGUUUAUCAGUCCUUUCUUCUCGGUAUGUUUAUUUUAUUUAUAUAGUUUUUCCUUUAAUUCAUAUUAUCCAAACAUUUUAAGCAUUUUAUUAGAAGCGAUCAGGUCAAUCUCUCAUUCUUUAUUUGUUAAUAUUUCAAAUAUCUUAUUUAUGUGUUUGAAACUCGAAAACCAUGCUUUGGUUGAUUGAAUUCGUAAGUUUUGUACCUUCAUUAGCUCUGUAUGUUCCAUUUUUUAUUAACUUGCAUAGAUCGAAUUUGAUUGUAUAUAUAAAAAAAAGUUUCCAUGCCUAAAUAUCUUAUUCACCAAGGCUUAUAUUAAUUAGAUAAUAAUGGAUUCAUAUUAAUUUAUUCACCCUUAUCAAAUAUACUUUUAAUACUCUAUAUUUUAUAGUUAUCUUAUUUUCAAUGUUAAAUCCCCACAUAUUUCCCAAGAUCCUGUCAGGAUCCACAUUUAUGGACCUCGGAGGGUUCUUAAUACCUUUAUUUUAAAAUAACCUGAACCCUUACUCGGUCUAUGAUUUUGCAGAUUCUUUUAAUUAAUUUUUUUUGUAAUUAGGUUAAAAUAGUGUCCUAACGUGCCUUUAUUUCUUUCUGUAGCGACUUUUAUUAUUUUUAUUUGCCCUAAAAGAAUUUUCACUGUAACACUUCGAAAAUCCAAGGCUAGUCUUAAAGCCUAACAUCGGUACCAUGGGGUCUAAACACUGUUUGAAAUACCUAUUUCGAAUAUAGGUCAUUUAGGAAGUUUAGGAGCUAAAAACAUCCAAGAACGUCUAUGACAUCCGGAAAUUAGUUCUAGUGAGGUACUAGCGUGUCUAAGUCUAUUUGAAGAGCAUUUAGGAGUCAGGAAUCCAUGGAAAUUGGUGGAAGGAUAGUUAAUAAGUGUUUAAGUUAGUUCAUAGUCAAAAUGUUCGGGUAUAACUCCCCAAGGACCAACCAAGGGCCCUUAAAGAGGACCCUUGCACGUUGAUAUCAACACUGCCUGGGCAGUGUGCACCCACGAAGGGUCAAUCGACGGGGCAUGUGUUGAUCGACGGGGCUUCGAUGCCUACCGUCGACCAAAACUUAGCCAUUUUGUUGAAGGGGCUCGUCUGCACACUCUCUGAACUCAUCGAUGGACGUGCAGCACAGAAGGGGGGCUGGUCCGUCGAUUGAGCCACGAGGCAUCCACGGGGUUCCAUCUUUGAGUGACAUGUUUUUGCUGCACGUUUUAACUUUGUUCAAAACAAUUAGUUAAGGGGUUUAGUGGUUAUUUAGGGAAUAAGGGAAGACUAAUUAAAUAAAUUAACUCCCAUAUAAAGACCUCAACCUCAAUUAAUCUAAUUACAACUUUCAAAAAAAUAAACUCUCUUCCUUCUCUCUUCUUUCUCUCUCUAUUUGAAGACACCAUUGAAGACAAGCUAGGGGGAGCUUUUGGGGGCUGGGAAUGGACGAUUUCACCAUCAAAUCUUCAUCAAACGUUAAGGUUCCGGUUGUUGAAGGCUCAUUUCAGACGACUUGAUGAAGGAUUGGAUAUUCUCUAUCAUCCAAGUGGGUAGGUCCUGACUUUUUGAGGGCGAUGCCAAUAUAUUGCUUAUGCAGUUGCUUUGUUUUUCUAAGACUUUUAUGUUCAUUCCACUUUCAUUUGAGUACGACUUGUAUAAGCUUAUAUGUGGAUUCUUUACAUUUGAUGUAGGGCUAUGCCCAAAUUGUUGUGAUCGUUUAGAUGG